AGCGAACGCUGGCGGCAGGCUUAACACAUGCAAGUCGAGCGGGCACUUUCGGGUGUCAGCGGCGGACGGGUGAGUAACGCGUGGGAACGUGCCCUCUGGUUCGGAAUAACUCAGGGAAACUUGAGCUAAUACCGGAUACGCCCUUUUGGGGAAAGGCUUGCUGCCUGAGGAUCGGCCCGCGUCUGAUUAGCUAGUUGGUGAGGUAACGGCUCACCAAGGCGACGAUCAGUAGCUGGUCUGAGAGGAUGAUCAGCCACACUGGGACUGAGACACGGCCCAGACUCCUACGGGAGGCAGCAGUGGGGAAUAUUGGACAAUGGGCGCAAGCCUGAUCCAGCCAUGCCGCGUGAGUGAUGAAGGCCUUAGGGUUGUAAAGCUCUUUUAUCCGGGACGAUAAUGACGGUACCGGAGGAAUAAGCCCCGGCUAACUUCGUG
rnacentral:rRNA from 1 species